rnacentral:rRNA from 1 species
GCCUACGGGAGGCAGCAGGGGGAAUUUUCCGCAAUGGGCGAAAGCCUGACGGAGCAAUGCCGCGUGGAGGUGGAAGGCCUACGGGUCGUCAACUUCUUUUCUCGGAGAAGAAACAAUGACGGUAUCUGAGGAAUAAGCAUCGGCUAACUCUGUGCCAGCAGCCGCGGUAAU